CAAAAGCUUCUAAAAUCAAGAAGAAGAAAAAGCUUUUUCAGAGUCAUUCCAGGAUCCCAUGGAGUUGUGACUAGAUAAGACACUUGGCUGCUCUGAGACGAAAAUGUCUUACGGAUUGGCAGAUAAGGAAGAGCUCUGACUGCCUGUCCCUAGUCAUGGAAGGGAGUGAUAAGCAGACAUAGAAGUAAGGACCUGCAAGAGGAACACACCUUCACACUCCUAUAAGGGAAUUUAUCAGAUAAAAGCAAGAGAUUCAGCAUCACUAAGAGCAAAAAUGUGUGAAAGACUAUGAAAAGGAAUAAAGUGGGAGCUUGCAUCUUUAGUGUCCAAAGUACAAGCCCUGUUGCCUGGAAUUCUUCAUUAUACAAACCUUUAUUCAAUGAGCGUCUGCUGACAGGGUUGGACAACACAAAGUCAAUCCCCAGGAGUCACGUGACAGAAAGAACCAACUCUUGCAAGUUGACCUCUGACUUCCAUAUAGUGGCCGUGCCAUGUGCAUCCCUACCAGGGCCACAGUAUCCACUUCUUUGCAUGUGAGCCAGCAACCCACGUGACUUACAUCUCUACAGGGAAAAACACCUAUACCACUUAAUUCUCAAGGUUGUUGAGGAGUACCUCCCCUAUAUUCAUCAAUAUGGGAGACUAUAAGAAGAAUGGUUGUUUUAUUAUAUAUUUGAAUAUUUCCAUAUGAAAUUGUGAAUACUACUUAAUGACAGG
rnacentral:lncRNA from 1 species